AACAAUUUUUGGAAAAAAUAUUAAUAUUGAGCCAUCGUUUACUGUGUCUGGGCCCCAUCAGACGCUGCUCAUUCGUUGUCCUUUUUAAGACCCCAGCACGUCUCUGUAUAAACCUUCUUAAAAAAAUCACGAACACAAAUUACACGAGAAUUUAAUUUAUAAUAAUUCAAUUUAUAAAACUCUCUUUAUACCAGAUAAAGUUACAAGUGUUAGGAGGAACCAGCCUAACAAAUAAAUACUAAAAAUCAUUCUAUAUUAUUACAUUUCAACUAUGGAACGUGCAUGAAAUUAGCUGUUAUUUUAAUGGAGAAGAUCGUCCAUCAUUUGAUGCAGAAUAGAAAUUCGUGGACAAGAAUACUGAAUUGAGGUAUAAAAGUUCUGAAUUCAUGAAGAGAACUAUGUCAGAAAUUCAUAUUCAGCCACGAGCGUCGACUGUGACGCAGGCUAUGUUCUAAGGUAAUAAAGGCCGUGGUCACUGGAGCAUUAGGGAGCUUUAGCAACGAGUACGACUACGAGUAUGAGAUUUGUCAAGCGAAACGCAUGCUGUAUGCUUACGCCAUCCCGUACUGACGCGAAAAAGUCGUAGCCGUCGCUCAUCUGAGUACGAAAUUGUGGAGAAAUCUCGUAGUCCUCACUAUGACUUUUCAAAAAAACAAAGAAAGCUGGGUUUUUUGAUUUUCAAAAAUAAUUUGUAGUAUUAAAUAUCUGGCUUAUUUUUAAUGUUAUGACUUAUUUGCACAUUUUGUAGGGGAUUUUGGCCAGCAGGAGAUUUAGUUUGUAUGAACUUUUUCUUUCGUUGUUUGUCUACUAUAUAAAAGCAACAUUUGAACGGAAAUGAGAUCGGCUACGGUGAUUUCCUCGCACGCGAGCAAAUUUCGUACUCGUACUCGUAGUCGCUGCUAAAGCUCCCUAUUAUCCGAUGCUUAGACCAUCGGUCUUUUCUGAAAUAAUUUUUCCCAGCUCGAUCAGUGAGAUGGAAAAGUACAGCAAAUCAUAAUUUCUAAUUGAGCUGAUCUAGAGGCUUUACAAAUCUAGCCAAUGCACUGUGAGCACAAACUACAACGCCCCCUCCUUCCCCCAGUGAACCCCUCCCAAAAAGUGUUAAAGAUACAGUUACUAUUUAUUUAACUGACUACCCCUGCUCCCCCCAGUGAAGCCCUCCCAAGUGAAGACUCCAGAGAAGCUCGGAAAAUAUGGUGUUUGCAAGCACGCAAACCAAAUGAAUGAACAGCACUUAGUUACGCCGGGCUAAAUGGAAACGAGUGACAAGUGCAAUUAACUUGAACACAUUUGAUCUACACUGUACCACAUGAUGGACUAAAGCUCUUGGGCACGGAGAAAGCACUUAAUUAUACGAGUUUCCCCACUCAACCUGGCUCAUAUAAUGAAGCCUGAAAGAGUUACGCUGUGCAACUUUCUCUAUUAAAACAACAUUAAGACAUUAUUUGAUUUACUGACUGUCAAAGUCCUUCUCAAUAUCGAGAUUCUUAAUCUUCAGUCGGUUUCCAUGUUCGGUUCUGUCGAUCAAUAAUGCCGUACUGGGUGGAAGACCUCCACACAAACUUUUGAUGCUUCGAAGGAUCUUCUUUCUGUGUUCCUGCUUAUUUACACCCAUAUUCUGUGUAAUUGAUAAAAAACAAAUUUUACAUGGCUAUACAAAUUAUCAUUGGUACAUACUAU
rnacentral:lncRNA from 1 species